UGACUGGCUGGCUGGCUGGCUGGCUGGCUGGCUGGCUGGCUGGCCGGCCGAAUCACUGCUCUAUACUAAGAAAUCUGUUUGCGCUGUUCGAGGGACCGCCGCUGUCGGAAUCAACAGCAGUCUGUACUGUCCCGGAGACGACUGUCGCCGCUGCGGAUUUGCACGAUCGCUACUGCUGCUGCCACCGUCGUUGUUAAUAGCGUUGCUUAUAACAAAAACUACCACGAUGCCAAGCAGAAAGUGGGAAAGAAGGACGUUUUCGGCGACGGCGGCAGCCGAACCAGUAGUUUUUUUAUCGUAGCCGGCAAAGGCGGUCACGGUAAGCAGGAGCCGUCUUCUGCAGUUUAAAUGUGCGAGUGCUGUGAAGAAGUGGCGGAAAGUCGUCUGUAGCGUGUCCUGCACCGCAGAUUCGCGACGGCGCCAUAGACAAACGGGCGACUGGAGAUGGCGAAGGAGUACGGAUUUCGAUGAACCUCAAACUGUCAGAGACAAACCGAAAUAACAACUUCGUCAUUAUUCAACUUAGGUCGUUGCAUCAAUAAUGCUAGAAUUAUUUUACUGUGGUCGUCUAUGCAAAUAGAAGACUCUGACGUGCAAAAAGCGUGGUGAAGAAGCUACUUUGAUUGAGAGGUGGCUCUGUCAGAAAAGUGUGGGAACUCAGAGAGCCAUCUCGCGGCGGUGUGCUUGUUUCCGUGGAUUACUUCGUCGACAAUUCCUCAAAAUCUGUCAGUGUAAUUGAGUGAAUGAGGGCAGUUGGAAAGGGAUUGAUCAGCAUCUGAGCGAGAAACAGAAGGAAAUUCCCGAACAAUAUUAUUAAACGGAUAUUAGCGACCUGUUUUCCUCAUCUAGUUAGUGGCCUCUUUUCGUGUGCACUACAGCGCCGAUGUGCUCUCAUUCAUUUUGAUGCACAUUGUGCACAUGUGAAUAUCGUGCUUAGCUGAUCUUCGUCAUCUACUUGUUAUUGUUACCCGCUUUCUAACAGGAUUUACUUCAUUAGAAGAUACAGUCUUCCUCCCUGCUUCUGCUGUUCUUCCAGAGAGCGUCAAAAUUACUACUACGUCAAACGAAAAUAUACUCGAAAAAACGGUAUCAUUUGUCGUUAUUGGUUACAGGAGCAGAAGUCGUACAUCGUUUAGAUAACGUGUCAUGUUAUUUCUUGGCUUCAUUGUUUUGAUCAUGGUAGUGGCAAGCAACGUCCAUUCAUCGUGAGUGCAGUAUCCGCCCGCGAUACACCGCGUCUUCGCGAUAUUCCGCUCAGGCUUGAUGCACACCGAAUACGCGACUCAUAGUGUCCUUAAACAAAAGAGGAAAACACUUUCAUCGGUGAUUUUACGUCAAAAUUACAUCAGCUGUUUGAGAUCUUUCGCCUGGACAGGAAGUCAACAUCAACGUUACUAGCGCGCUAGGUUCCCUGUUCGUGAAAGUUUUGCCUCACAAGAUUAGGUGAAGCUCGUACCACGCAAUAGCCUAGGAGCGUACUCGAAUCCGCGGUAGGAUGUGUGGGCCAAAGGUGCGCAGCUGACAGCGUGGCUACUGAAUAUCAUCUUGCCGUGGAUGUGGGGCGCGCGCAUGGAAAACAUGCGUCCAAAACAGAUUCUUCUCCAUUGCGCCCCAUAUCUAGGGACCUAUAUUGCCUUAGUAGUGUGUGUGUCAGUGGGGAUCAUCAUCGCGUCGAUCGGCGUCACGUUAGCUCAGCCCAGCAUAGACUUGAAACAGUAUCCGCCUGCUCGGCAUGUUCACGCGGAGAAACAGCGUUAUGACGGCUGGUACAAUAACCUUGCUCAUCAGGAUUGGGGAG